AGCUGGGAAAAAACGGUAUUGUCCCUGCUGAUGCAACAACCUUCAAGUAUCUCCAGGACAAGACAUCGGUUCCUUAUGAACCAGUUUAUAGUGAUGGACAAGCAAGAUUUUUCUCGGAGUACAAAUUUGAUAUCACAAAGUUGGAGCCUUGGUGUCCAAGGUGA